rnacentral:rRNA from 1 species
UACGAAGGGGGCUAGCGUUGUUCGGAAUUACUGGGCGUAAAGCGCAUGUAGGCGGUCCUACAAGCCAGAGGUGAAAUCCCGGGGCUCAACCUCGGAAUUGCCUUUGGAACUGUAGGACUGGAGUAUCGGAGGGGAUGGUGGAAUUCCAAGUGUAGAGGUGAAAUUCGUAGAUAUUUGGAGGAACACCGGUGGCGAAGGCGGCCAUCUGGACGAUUACUGACGCUGAGAUGCGAAAGCGUGGGGAGCAAACAGG